GACGAACCGAGCGAACGUUGUUCGGAAUCACUGGGCUUAAAGGGCGCGUAUGCGGCCUGCUAAGUCGAACGUGAAAUCCCCGGGCUCAACCCGGGAACUGCGUCCGAUACUGGCUGGCUUGAAUCCGGGAGAGGGAUGCGGAAUUCCAGGUGUAGCGGUGAAAUGCGUAGAUAUCUGGAGGAACACCGGUGGCGAAGGCGGCAUCCUGGACCGGCAUUGACGCUGAGGCGCGAAAGCGUGGGGAGCGAACAGG
rnacentral:rRNA from 1 species